rnacentral:rRNA from 1 species
ACAAGCGGAGGAGCAUGUGGUUAAUUCGAUGAUACGCGAGGAACCUUACCUGGGCUCGAACGUAAGAUGACUGUAGGUGAAAGCUUACAUCUCUUCGGAGCAUUUUACGAGGUGCUGCAUGGUUGUCGUCAGCUCGUGCCGUGAGGUGUCGGGUUAAGUCCCAUAACGAGCGCAACCCUACCUUUAGUUGCCAUCAGGUUAAGCUGGGGACUCUAAAGGAACUGCCUACGCAAGUAGUGAGGAAGGCGGGGAUGACGUCAAAUCAGCACGGCCCUUACGUCCAGGGCUACACACGUGCUACAAUGGCCGAUACAGAGGGCAGCUACCUGGUGACAGGAUGCAAAUCUCCAAAGUCGGUCUCAGUUCGGAUUGAAGUCUGCAACUCGACUUCAUGAAGCUGGAAUCGCUAGUAAUCGUGGAUCAGCCAAGCCGCGGUGAAUACGUUCCCGGGCCUU